GCACGAACGGCGGCUCCAGGCACACUAGCGGCUUCAGUUGGACCGGCGACAACAUGUGUUCCCCGACGGAGGCAACACGAUCGGGGAUAUGGACUAUUUUAACAUUAAGUUCCAUCAUAGAGGAACCUUUAAUAAUAAAGAGGGAGUCUGACAGUAUUUAAAAGAUGAAAACACAAUGGUGGAUUGGACAAAUCGUGAUCAAUUGGGGAUAAUUUAGGUUUAUGACAUUUUAGAGAAGUUAGGAUAUUUUGAAGACAACAUUGCUGUGUUGUGGUACAAAGAUUGUGGGUUGGGUAUAGACGAAGGGUUGAGACAGUUGAAGACUGAUGUAGAUGCAAUGGCCAUGGCGAAUGUUGGAGUUGAAAAGGGUGUUGUCAACUUGUUUGUGAUGCAUAAGACAUCUGAGCCUGAUGAUUUUCCCUAUGAGAUUGGUUAUUUAGAUGUUGGUGGUGGUAACACUAAUGAAGUAAUGAUGUUGAUGUGGAAGUGGAUGCCCAAAGUGUGGAUGUGGAGGCCUAAGUUCCUAAUAUAGUUGAGGUCCAAGUUGUUAAGGAUGUUGGUUUGGAUAAAAUUCAAAUACAUGGAGAAGAAGAAGCCCAUGCCAACAAUGCUGAUUCUUUAAGUGAGGAAGAUGAAGAUCUUUACUUCAAUGACAAUGAAGAUGAUUUCUAUGGGGAUGAUGCUCUCUUUGACGUUGACAUCACUUUGGAAGAACUGUAUCAAGAAAUUAAGAAAAAGAAAAGAAAAGAAACAUUGAGUCAAAGAAGAAGAAAAAGGCUGGCGGGGUGCAAAGCAGUGGGCUUAGUGAGGAUGAGGGGCUGGAUAGUAAUGAAUUAGAAGAUUUGCCUACUGAAGGGGACAAAGAAUACAAAACAUUUCCGGUGUAUAAUGAGUUGACGGACAUGAGUGCUUAUGGGUGGGAGGUUAGAACAUUAUUUGCUACAAGAGAGGAAUUCAAGGAUGCGGUGACUACAUAUGUCGUGCAUAGUGGCAGAAAUGGUAAGUUUCCAGUUGUCGAUAAGGGUUGAAUGAGAGCUAAUGUAAGGAUGGUUGUGGAUGGUUUGUAUAUGGAGUGAAGAUGCCGACUGAGGAUAAUUGGUUUUUUUUUUUUUUUGAAACCAACCUUCAAGAGAGAAGGCUACACACAUACAAACAAAAGAGCAAACCUAAACAAGGCCAGCCAUACUCUAACCAAACUAAGAAAGAAAACUGUCACAGUUGCAGCUCAUUAUUUAACAUCCGAGUGAUGAAAUCUAAGUGGUUUGGACAAGCUGUUUAAGAGGAAGGUUGAAGUGAAUCCAAGACUGAAUUUGAAGGAUUAAAGAAAGGGCACAAAACAAGUGGAACAUGUGCAAUUGUCAAACCCAAAAUCUUUAAGGGUAAAGAAGUUGGUGGACAUCAAUGACAGCUUUGAGGUACAAUGGCGGAGGCUAUAUUACCAUUGGCACGAGCUCCUGAUGUCAAAUUCUGGAUCCUCAGUAAAGCUUCAAGUUCAACUACUUCCAGAGGCACUAACUAAAAGUCCUACCGUCCCAAGAGGGUUAAGCACGAAUGCUCUUGUAGAAAAUUUCAUUUAACUGGUUUUCCUUGUCCUCAUGCAGUUAGUGCCAUAAAUCGUGCCAAGAAUGAUGUUAGAAAUUACGUUGAUAACUGUUAUAAAAGAGAUGCAUAUGUUGCAUUUUUUACCAACAUGUAAUUAGUUCUUGCAAUGGAGAGCAAUUGUUGGAAAGAACUGAUCGAGCAUCCAGAUUUGAUGCCCUCAACAUAUAGAAAGCCUAUAGGCCGGCCUACCAAAAAGAAAACCCGGGGACAAGAUGAAGAGCCAAGUGGUUCAACUAUGUCUAGAGCUGGGGAAGCAACAAAAAUGCUCAGGAUGUGGUGUAAUUGGACAUAAUAAGAUGGGAUGUCUACAAAGACUUCCAAGUGUGAGUUUGAAUUUCUAUUACUAGCCUAUAUCAUGUGAGUUUAAAUAUGUAAGGCUGCGUUUGUUUCUAAAAAUAGGACAAGACAUUGAGAAUAGGACAGGACAAGACAAGACACUGAUGGACAGAGAUAAAAAAUUGUGUUCUUGUAUUCUAUUUGGUGAUAAACUAGAACAAAUUAUGAAAAUUCAAUUUAUUCCUAUUUUUUUUUUCAUUCAAAAAAUUUGAGAUAAAAAAUAUAACAAUAAGAAAUAUAAUUAUGAAAAAUUAACAAGAAUAAUGAAAGAAAAAAUAAAAAAUAAGUUGUGUUAUUUGUUAGUGUCUGCGUGUCCUUCCUGUCAGGAUGGACACAAAAUACACUAAUUUAGUGUCUCUGGACACAUUGUCUCUGUACAUGUCUCCUCUGCCAAACACAAUUUUAUGUCUCAAUGUCCUGUCUCUGUAAAUAAACGCAGCUUUAGGCAAAAAUUAUUGUUAUCAUAAGAAACUACCAAUGUACUAGGUUCAAGACAAAACACGAUGGUGACAAAGAAGGCCAAACCUUCAAAAUUAACAAAAGGAACAAAAGAGACAAAGCAACAAUCAGGCAAAGCAAACAAGAUGAAGCACACAAAAGCAAUAACUUUUGAAGCUUUCAAAGCAAUGGAGAAAGAGGGUUUAGUUAGGACGGAGAGAAUUUAUAUUAGGGAUGUUCAUAAAAAAAAUAAAAUGUGGUUAAUCGGUUAAAAAACUAUAACCACAUUUUGGUUAAUCAGUUUAAUAACAAUUUUAAAAAUCAUAUCUAUAUUUUUUGAAAUUGGUUAACCAAAACCAAAUUAAAAAAAUCGAAUUUUAACUGAUUAACCAAAACCAAAACCAAAUUAAAAUCAAAACCUAAUUUCAAAAUGACAACCGUUCUCCUCUUCGACAAAACCAAAUUCACUCUUUGUCGCCGUCAACAGUUCUUCUCCUCUGCCUCUUGCCGGUGGUUCGUCGGACCUCUAUCUCUUCGAGUCAUCACUUUGAUUCGAGAUCUCUUCGAUUCAUCACUUUGAUUGGAGACUCUGUCUCUAUGCCUCGACCUCACAUUCGCGACUUUGUCUUCACUUUGAUUCGCCGGAGUAUCUCUCCUUUUAGGUUCUCUUCUUUCGUUGGUGGCUCGCCGGAGCUCAUCAAUUGAGAUUUUAAAAUCUGCCAGUAUUGAACUCUUCAUUUCAAUGGAUCCUGCUAAUGAAGUAGCCGAUCGUGAUAUUCCCAUGUCAGAAUUUGUAGAGCAUUCGACUUCUACAUUACCUUCGCUCCUAACCACAUCAUCUGAACGCAAGAUCAAUAGUUUGGGACCAUUUCAAGAGAAUCUCUGAUGAUGAAAAUAAGGCUCAAUGUUAAUACUGUUUAAAAGUGAUCAAGUGUGGAAAUGGAACAAAAGCAAUGAGAUCACAUUUAAAGAUUUGCAUAAGCAAUCCCGGUUUAGAUAGAGGCAAACGACAAAAAAACAGGCACAUCGCCUAGCUUAGAAGCACAAGUGGGUAGGUUUGAUGCAUACUAUGCUUGGGAAAAAUUGAUAUCGAUGUUUAUUCGCGAGAA